rnacentral:lncRNA from 1 species
CUUGAUGUACGAUUCGAUUGGGGUAGGACAAAGGUAGAGCUGAAAACAAGCCUGGACAUUGACAGUGAUAGCUGAUCAGGAGUUUGUUACUGGCCAAGGCAGGAUCCACCCUACACGUUCACCAACACAACCACAUCAACAAAAACAGUAGAUGGCAGGCAGACACAGUAUAAUGUUCAAGAAGGUCAAUUUAACAGUUCACCCAAAUGUUCACAAUCAGGGAAAAACACUUUGCGAAUCAGCAGAAGUAAAAUUUGCAAAAACACUGUAAAAGUAGAGCAGCUACAUAAAACAGUACAGAGGAUAUCAAAUUAACGUCUGAAUUCUUUGUAGACCCAGUUAUUCAAUCCUGCCAUUAAAAAUAAUCAAGCAACACAGUUUGAAUCGCAGGUUGGUUGCACAAAGAGAGAGUUCAUGAACCACAGAACCGGCACAGCGUUAAGAUGAAGCACAAACUCAAACCUCGAACAGGGAGAGUAAAAACAGGUGCUUGAUCAAUCUGAGAAUAGGUAAUUAAUCAUACAACAACUCGUAAUUGCAUAUGGGGGAGUAAGAACACAGUCGCAAUUCCUGGAGUUCGGAGUGCUUGAAAUUUGGAAAUUGGGAACAAAAAUGGGAACCCUACUAGAAUGAUAAAAUUGCAUAAACAGUCACUUCAAUUUCCAUAUGUGAUAAAA